CCUACGGGAGGCAGCAGUAGGGAAUCUUCCACAAUGGGCGAAAGCCUGAUGGAGCAACGCCGCGUGAGUGAUGAAGGCCUUCGGGUUGUAAAACUCUGUCAUUCGGGACGAACCGGAGUCUGAGGAAAUGCAGACUCUCUGACGGUACCGGAGGAGGAAGCCCCGGCUAACUACGUGCCAGCAGCCGCGGUAAUACGUAGGGGGCAAGCGUUGUCCGGAUUCACUGGGCGUAAAGCGCGCGCAGGCGGUGAUGUAAGUCUGAGGUGAAAACCCGAAGCUCAACUUCGGGACUGCCUUGGAUACUGCGUCACUUGAGGAUAGGAGAGGCAAGGGGAAUUCCACGUGUAGCGGUGAAAUGCGUAGAGAUGUGGAGGAACACCUGUGGCGAAGGCGCCUUGCUGGCCUAUUUCUGACGCUGAGGCGCGAAAGCGUGGGGAGCAAACAGGAUUAGAUACCCUGGUAGUCCACGCUGUAAACGAUGAGUGCUAGGUGUAGGUGGGCUCAUACCCAUCUGUGCCGAAGCUAACGCAUUAAGCACUCCGCCCUGGGGAGUACGGUCGCAGACUGAAACUCAAAUGAAAUUGACGG
rnacentral:rRNA from 1 species